UACGGGGGGGGCAAGCGUUGUUCGGAAUUACUGGGCGUAAAGGGCGCGUAGGCGGCCUGCUAAGUCGGACGUGAAAUCCCUCGGCUUAACCGAGGAACUGCGUCCGAUACUGGUGGGCUUGAAUCCGGGAGAGGGAUGUGGAAUUCCAGGUGUAGCGGUGAAAUGCGUAGAUAUCUGGAGGAACACCGGUGGCGAAGGCGGCAUCCUGGACCGGUAUUGACGCUGAGGCGCGAAAGCUAGGGGAGCAAACGGGG
rnacentral:rRNA from 1 species